rnacentral:tRNA from 1 species
ACGUUUUUAUUACAAAAAGUAUAUUUGACUUCCAAUCAAAAAGUCCUUACCAAGGAAAACGUA